AAUACCAAAAUAUGUUGUUGUUCUUCAACUCUUACAUACAUAUAUACAUGUGUAUAUACCAAGAAUACAUAGGAUGACCUCAUGUGUUGACUGGGUUUUCAUGAGAUUCCAUGCCAACCCGUCAUGUAAAUCUUCCCUCAAGCAAAAUAAAUACAUAAAUAUGUAUGCAAAAUCCAAUCUUAAGUAUUCAGACAUACAUGCAUAAACAUGUACAUGCUUGUGUGCAAAACAACUUUUUUCCAUAAUUUACUCACAUAUGUAUUUAUGUAUAUCUGGAUAGAAGAAUUAAAUAAUAAAUACUCUUGUAAAUAAGCAAACAUUUUUGAGCGAGUAUAAAAAGAAGCUGUGACCCGUGUCGGAACAUUCAUUCUGCAAAAGGAUUCAUAUUUCCAUAGAAAUUUAUAUCGCUGGAUUUUCACCAUGAAAAGAAGCCCUCUUCUUUUGUGUUUCUUUGUCUUGAUCGCUGUGGCGUCCACGGUUGAAUCGUGUCGAUGUAUCGGACUUGGUGAGUGUUGCGCGGGAAGAGAGUGUUCCCAAUAUCAUGACGGGUCAAUUUGUUCCGGAAAAUGCUGUGUCCGAGGUCCUCGCACAACUGGACCCAAUAAUGCUUGUGGGGACAGAUGCGCUUAAUUAGUAAUCACUUGCACACACGGAGGUGAACCAGUACAUAUCAUUCUAUCCAACACAUGUAGAAAAUAAAUAACACUGAAUAAAUGUGUCUGUUAAAGUUUAAUUGGUUGAAUAAAAAUACGGCUCAGCAUCAAUUAAUUAAUAAUGGUGCAUUUUUAUUUGGUAGAAUUAUUUUAAAAAAUAUCCAUAAAAAUAGAUUUCAGAAUCUGCAACAACUUUUCGUGUGGCAAAAAAAUGAUAAAAUGGGCCCGACGCGUGGGUGUGAAUGGCACGAAAAAACCGAGUUUGUACUCCUCCACACCUUCAGUUAAAUCUAUUUACUUAAAAAAAUAAUAAUCUGGUAGAAAUUUUGUUUGGUCUACAAACCCAACGUAAACAUGACACAUGCAUAAAUACAUAUGUGCAUAUUUAUGCAUACUGAUAUUUUCACGUAAUUACAAAACGUGUUUCCAGAUUAUAGGAACAAGGGAAAAAAUUGUGUAACUUGAGAACGGCUGGUCCAAUCAGCGCCAAAUUUGACAAUCAUAAUUUUGUCAUUAUUGCGGUGCUAUAUUCUGAGUUUCAAAUUUCUGUUUCAAAUAAUGGGGCCUAAAAUUGACCCUAAAGUGGUGGCGUCAGUUUCCAAAGCCAAAUUGGCCUAUAGAGCUAUCAAAUCUGUUUUAAAAGAUUCUGGAAACGACCUAGGUGUGACCACUAUAAGUCGUAUUAUCAGUUUUGAAGGAAUUAGGAGACAUGCAGUUACAUCCGGUCAACCUGUUCCAAGAAAUCGAUACCCUUCAAAAAAGAAUUCGGCCACUUUGAAGAAAAUUGAUCCUCUCACUAAUAAGGAAAAUCCCCCAAGCAAGAGGCAGAUUACAAAGCAAUGCCAGAUGUCCCCGGGGUAUGUUAGUAAAAUAAUACAUCAAGAUUUGGUUAAAACGGUCCAGAAAAAAAAAGUCUAGUCCACGCCCUAAAACCGUCGCAUAUCGCAAACAGGGAAAAAAAUUCCCGGAAGCUCUAUGAGGGUCAUCUCAUAGAAUGAGGUGGAAGGUCAGAAUUUGCCGUUACACUGGACGAGGUACUAUUCUUUACAGAAGACUGUAAAGGAACAAUAAGAAUUUACUAUACAAAGGAUCGAAAAAAAUUAUCAAAUUAUGUGUGCCAGAAGAAGGAAAAGUUUUCUGAUCGGAUGAUGGUUGUUGGCGCAAUGAACGGCCGUGGCGUGUUACCACUGAUUCAUGUCGGUUCAAAUGCAAAAAUAAAUUCGAAGUAUUAUGUUGACAACGUGUUGCAAAAAUUUUUGGAGGUGGAAAUUCCAAAGUUUUACCCUGGCGAGCUGGACAAAGUUUACAUUCACCAUGAUGCUGUAACAUCCCGCAAAGUUCACGCAAGAAUACGGCAAAGAUUUGAAGCGAAAUACAGGAAUGACCUUGAUAACUAACUCUGAGAUCCCUAUCAAGUCACCAUGGACACUAGUCCCAUGGAUUUUUUCGGGUUUGGUUAUCUCAAACAGAAGGUUUUUAAAAGGAGAGCAUCAACUCUGGGUGGACUUUGGAAAGUUCUGAAUCAGGAGUGGAAUCUUGUAACACCUGAAACAUGUCGAAAAGUGUUCGAAAACUGGAAAUUUAGGCUCAGGCUUGUUCGGGCGAUGUCCGGAGAACACAUUGAGAAUACUCAAGCAAUUCAUAAUCGCCGUCGUCAGUAAAUGUAAGAUUUUUUCCCUUGUUCCUAUAAUCUGGAGACACGUUUUGUAUAUACAAAUAAAGGGACAUAUGCAGGCUCAAAAUAUAACCCCUAAAAACGAAUUAAUUAAAAACAAACUAAUUAUCUUUAAUUGAUCACAUGCUCUAUACUGCGACAUGUCGACAACACAGAAAAACAUGUUUUGCCCAAAUUUCAUGCAUAUCGACCGCAAAAUGCCGAAAUUAGGGCGUGGCGACAAAAUCUGUCGUCGAAACCUUACUGGCCAUAUUGCGACAUGUCGACAACACCGAAAAACAAGGUUUCCCCAAAUUUCAUGCCAAUCGCCCAAAAAAUGCCGAAAUUAGGGCAUGGCGACGCUUUUCGACAUGAUUUCGACAAAUUGGUCCCACCCCCUUAAUAGGGUGUCACCCCAUAGCCGUGAAGAGCAUGUGUUGAAAAUUUCAAGUCGCUGCGACGAACCGUUCUCGAGUUUUAGUGUUGACGGACAGACAGACGGUCGGACCGAAAGACUAACUAACCGAUCGCGUUAAGUAGCUUGCGCUACUUAAUAAGUGUAAAGAAAUUCUGCAUUCGUGGAAUAUGAUUUGUAGUUAUAAGAAAGUCAAUACGCUUAAUGAUAUUUGUAAGUAAUAUAUGGACCAGUACUGUUCUCAAGUUAUGUAAAUGUUAGACGCUACGAAUGAUUUUAGCUUGACCACCACCACCACUAUUAUUACUCGUCCACACUUUAACAUUAUUUGAAAAAUUGUAUUUAUUUAUAUAUUUUGUUUCUCCAAAUUUUAACCAUACAUUGUGAAACAGGUAAUUUGUACUUAAUAGUAGCUCGCAUGUACACAUGUAUUCAUUCAUCUACUUAUUUAAUCUUUUUAGAAAUAAUGGCCAAGGAUCAUUCAUGUACAAUUCGAGUCUAUGUAUAUUAAUUUUACACCAGAGGUAGUAAUUAUAAUGGUCACCAUAAUUUAUCUAAUUAAUUAUUAUUAUAAAGCAUGUCAAUUUUUCACCACAUAGCCUGAUGAAGAGAUUCGAAACCGGUCGCAAUGGUGAAUAAAUCUGAUCCUCAUUCAACAGUUUAAAGUGUUCCUUGUUCUUAUUAGCAAUGCAAACUGUGCAGCUUUUCUGGUAUUUAUGUACGAACAAGUCUCCCCUGGAUGUCAUGGGAAUUGAUGUGCACGAGUUAUAUAAACAGUGUUUAUUAAACACUAUUUGUUGGAGAUGGUUGGACUUGCGAAAAAUACCAAAAUAUGUUGUUGUUCUUCAACUCUUACAUACAUAUAUACAUGUGUAUAUACCAAGAAUACAUAGGAUGACCUCAUGUGUUGACUGGGUUUUCAUGAGAUUCCAUGCCAACCCGUCAUGUAAAUCUUCCCUCAAGCAAAAUAAAUACAUAAAUAUGUAUGCAAAAUCCAAUCUUAAGUAUUCAGACAUACAUGCAUAAACAUGUACAUGCUUGUGUGCAAAACAACUUUUUUCCAUAAUUUACUCACAUAUGUAUUUAUGUAUAUCUGGAUAGAAGAAUUAAAUAAUAAAUACUCUUGUAAAUAAGCAAACAUUUUUGAGCGAGUAUAAAAAGAAGCUGUGACCCGUGUCGGAACAUUCAUUCUGCAAAAGGAUUCAUAUUUCCAUAGAAAUUUAUAUCGCUGGAUUUUCACCAUGAAAAGAAGCCCUCUUCUUUUGUGUUUCUUUGUCUUGAUCGCUGUGGCGUCCACGGUUGAAUCGUGUCGAUGUAUCGGACUCGGUGAGUGUUGCGCGGGAAGAGAGUGUUCCCAAUAUCAUGACGGGUCAAUUUGUUCCGGAAAAUGCUGUGUCCGAGGUCCUCGCACAACUGGACCCAAUAAUGCUUGUGGGGACAGAUGCGCUUAAUUAGUAAUCACUUGCACACACGGAGGUGAACCAGUACAUAUCAUUCUAUCCAACACAUGUAGAAAAUAAAUAACACUGAAUAAAUGUGUCUGUUAAAGUUUAAUUGGUUGAAUAAAAAUACGGCUCAGCAUCAAUUAAUUAAUAAUGGUGCAUUUUUAUUUGGUAGAAUUAUUUUAAAAAAUAUCCAUAAAAAUAGAUUUCAGAAUCUGCAACAACUUUUCGUGUGGCAAAAAAAUGAUAAAAUGGGCCCGACGCGUGGGUGUGAAUGGCACGAAAAAACCGAGUUUGUACUCCUCCACACCUUCAGUUAAAUCUAUUUACUUAAAAAAAUAAUAAUCUGGUAGAAAUUUUGUUUGGUCUACAAACCCAACGUAAACAUGACACAUGCAUAAAUACAUAUGUGCAUAUUUAUGCAUACUGAUAUUUUCACGUAAUUACAAAACGUGUUUCCAGAUUAUAGGAACAAGGGAAAAAAUUGUGUAACUUGAGAACGGCUGGUCCAAUCAGCGCCAAAUUUGACAAUCAUAAUUUUGUCAUUAUUGCGGUGCUAUAUUCUGAGUUUCAAAUUUCUGUUUCAAAUAAUGGGGCCUAAAAUUGACCCUAAAGUGGUGGCGUCAGUUUCCAAAGCCAAAUUGGCCUAUAGAGCUAUCAAAUCUGUUUUAAAAGAUUCUGGAAACGACCUUGGUGUGACCACUAUAAGUCGUAUUAUCAGUUUUGAAGGAAUUAGGAGACAUGCAGUUACAUCCGGUCAACCUGUUCCAAGAAAUCGAUACCCUUCAAAAAAGAAUUCGGCCACUUUGAAGAAAAUUGAUCCUCUCACUAAUAAGGAAAAUCCCCCAAGCAAGAGGCAGAUUACAAAGCAAUGCCAGAUGUCCCCGGGGUAUGUUAGUAAAAUAAUACAUCAAGAUUUGGUUAAAACGGUCCAGAAAAAAAAAGUCUAGUCCACGCCCUAAAACCGUCGCAUAUCGCAAACAGGGAAAAAAAUUCCCGGAAGCUCUAUGAGGGUCAUCUUGCAGGUGGAAGGUCAGAAUUUGCCGUUACACUGGACGAGGUACUAUUCUUUACAGAAGACUGUAAAGGAACAAUAAGAAUUUACUAUACAAAGGAUCGAAAAAAAUUAUCAAAUUAUGUGUGCCAGAAGAAGGAAAAGUUUUCUGAUCGGAUGAUGGUUGUUGGCGCAAUGAACGGCCGUGGCGUGUUACCACUGAUUCAUGUCGGUUCAAAUGCAAAAAUAAAUUCGAAGUAUUAUGUUGACAACGUGUUGCAAAAAUUUUUGGAGGUGGAAAUUCCAAAGUUUUACCCUGGCGAGCUGGACAAAGUUUACAUUCACCAUGAUGCUGUAACAUCCCGCAAAGUUCACGCAAGAAUACGGCAAAGAUUUGAAGCGAAAUACAGGAAUGACCUUGAUAACUAACUCUGAGAUCCCUAUCAAGUCACCAUGGACACUAGUCCCAUGGAUUUUUUUGGGUUUGGUUAUCUCAAACAGAAGGUUUUUAAAAGGAGAGCAUCAACUCUGGGUGGACUUUGGAAAGUUCUGAAUCAGGAGUGGAAUCUUGUAACACCUGAAACAUGUCGAAAAGUGUUCGAAAACUGGAAAUUUAGGCUCAGGCUUGUUCGGGCGAUGUCCGGAGAACACAUUGAGAAUACUCAAGCAAUUCAUAAUCGCCGUCGUCAGUAAAUGUAAGAUUUUUUCCCUUGUUCCUAUAAUCUGGAGACACGUUUUGUAUAUACAAAUAAAGGGACAUAUGCAGGCUCAAAAUAUAACCCCUAAAAACGAAUUAAUUAAAAACAAACUAAUUAUCUUUAAUUGAUCACAUGCUCUAUACUGCGACAUGUCGACAACACAGAAAAACAUGUUUUGCCCAAAUUUCAUGCAUAUCGACCGCAAAAUGCCGAAAUUAGGGCGUGGCGACAAAAUCUGUCGUCGAAACCUUACUGGCCAUAUUGCGACAUGUCGACAACACCGAAAAACAAGGUUUCCCCAAAUUUCAUGCCAAUCGCCCAAAAAAUGCCGAAAUUAGGGCAUGGCGACGCUUUUCGACAUGAUUUCGACAAAUUGGUCCCACCCCCUUAAUAGGGUGUCACCCCAUAGCCGUGAAGAGCAUGUGUUGAAAAUUUCAAGUCGCUGCGACGAACCGUUCUCGAGUUUUAGUGUUGACGGACAGACAGACGGUCGGACCGAAAGACUAACUAACCGAUCGCGUUAAGUAGCUUGCGCUACUUAAUAAGUGUAAAGAAAUUCUGCAUUCGUGGAAUAUGAUUUGUAGUUAUAAGAAAGUCAAUACGCUUAAUGAUAUUUGUAAGUAAUAUAUGGACCAGUACUGUUCUCAAGUUAUGUAAAUGUUAGACGCUACGAAUGAUUUUAGCUUGACCACCACCACCACUAUUAUUACUCGUCCACACUUUAACAUUAUUUGAAAAAUUGUAUUUAUUUAUAUAUUUUGUUUCUCCAAAUUUUAACCAUACAUUGUGAAACAGGUAAUUUGUACUUAAUAGUAGCUCGCAUGUACACAUGUAUUCAUUCAUCUACUUAUUUAAUCUUUUUAGAAAUAAUGGCCAAGGAUCAUUCAUGUACAAUUCGAGUCUAUGUAUAUUAAUUUUACACCAGAGGUAGUAAUUAUAAUGGUCACCAUAAUUUACCUAAUUAAUUAUUAUUAUAAAGCAUGUCAAUUUUUCACCACAUAGCCUGAUGAAGAGAUUCGAAACCGGUCGCAAUGGUGAAUAAAUCUGAUCCUCAUUCAACAGUUUAAAGUGUUCCUUGUUCUUAUUAGCAAUGCAAACUGUGCAGCUUUUCUGGUAUUUAUGUACGAGCAAGUCUCCCCUGGAUGUCAUGGGAAUUGAUGUGCACGAGUUAUAUAAACAGUGUUUAUUAAACACUAUUUGUUGGAGAUGGUUGGACUUGCGAAAAAUACCAAAAUAUGUUGUUGUUCUUCAACUCUUACAUACAUAUAUACAUGUGUAUAUACCAAGAAUACAUAGGAUGACCUCAUGUGUUGACUGGGUUUUCAUGAGAUUCCAUGCCAACCCGUCAUGUAAAUCUUCCCUCAAGCAAAAUAAAUACAUAAAUAUGUAUGCAAAAUCCAAUCUUAAGUAUUCAGACAUACAUGCAUAAACAUGUACAUGCUUGUGUGCAAAACAACUUUUUUCCAUAAUUUACUCACAUAUGUAUUUAUGUAUAUCUGGAUAGAAGAAUUAAAUAAUAAAUACUCUUGUAAAUAAGCAAACAUUUUUGAGCGAGUAUAAAAAGAAGCUGUGACCCGUGUCGGAACAUUCAUUCUGCAAAAGGAUUCAUAUUUCCAUAGAAAUUUAUAUCGCUGGAUUUUCACCAUGAAAAGAAGCCCUCUUCUUUUGUGUUUCUUUGUCUUGAUCGCUGUGGCGUCCACGGUUGAAUCGUGUCGAUGUAUCGGACUUGGUGAGUGUUGCGCGGGAAGAGAGUGUUCCCAAUAUCAUGACGGGUCAAUUUGUUCCGGAAAAUGCUGUGUCCGAGGUCCUCGCACAACUGGACCCAAUAAUGCUUGUGGGGACAGAUGCGCUUAAUUAGUAAUCACUUGCACACACGGAGGUGAACCAGUACAUAUCAUUCUAUCCAACACAUGUAGAAAAUAAAUAACACUGAAUAAAUGUGUCUGUUAAAGUUUAAUUGGUUGAAUAAAAAUACGGCUCAGCAUCAAUUAAUUAAUAAUGGUGCAUUUUUAUUUGGUAGAAUUAUUUUAAAAAAUAUCCAUAAAAAUAGAUUUCAGAAUCUGCAACAACUUUUCGUGUGGCAAAAAAAUGAUAAAAUGGGCCCGACGCGUGGGUGUGAAUGGCACGAAAAAACCGAGUUUGUACUCCUCCACACCUUCAGUUAAAUCUAUUUACUUAAAAAAAUAAUAAUCUGGUAGAAAUUUUGUUUGGUCUACAAACCCAACGUAAACAUGACACAUGCAUAAAUACAUAUGUGCAUAUUUAUGCAUACUGAUAUUUUCACGUAAUUACAAAACGUGUUUCCAGAUUAUAGGAACAAGGGAAAAAAUUGUGUAACUUGAGAACGGCUGGUCCAAUCAGCGCCAAAUUUGACAAUCAUAAUUUUGUCAUUAUUGCGGUGCUAUAUUCUGAGUUUCAAAUUUCUGUUUCAAAUAAUGGGGCCUAAAAUUGACCCUAAAGUGGUGGCGUCAGUUUCCAAAGCCAAAUUGGCCUAUAGAGCUAUCAAAUCUGUUUUAAAAGAUUCUGGAAACGACCUAGGUGUGACCACUAUAAGUCGUAUUAUCAGUUUUGAAGGAAUUAGGAGACAUGCAGUUACAUCCGGUCAACCUGUUCCAAGAAAUCGAUACCCUUCAAAAAAGAAUUCGGCCACUUUGAAGAAAAUUGAUCCUCUCACUAAUAAGGAAAAUCCCCCAAGCAAGAGGCAGAUUACAAAGCAAUGCCAGAUGUCCCCGGGGUAUGUUAGUAAAAUAAUACAUCAAGAUUUGGUUAAAACGGUCCAGAAAAAAAAAGUCUAGUCCACGCCCUAAAACCGUCGCAUAUCGCAAACAGGGAAAAAAAUUCCCGGAAGCUCUAUGAGGGUCAUCUUGCAGGUGGAAGGUCAGAAUUUGCCGUUACACUGGACGAGGUACUAUUCUUUACAGAAGACUGUAAAGGAACAAUAAGAAUUUACUAUACAAAGGAUCGAAAAAAAUUAUCAAAUUAUGUGUGCCAGAAGAAGGAAAAGUUUUCUGAUCGGAUGAUGGUUGUUGGCGCAAUGAACGGCCGUGGCGUGUUACCACUGAUUCAUGUCGGUUCAAAUGCAAAAAUAAAUUCGAAGUAUUAUGUUGACAACGUGUUGCAAAAAUUUUUGGAGGUGGAAAUUCCAAAGUUUUACCCUGGCGAGCUGGACAAAGUUUACAUUCACCAUGAUGCUGUAACAUCCCGCAAAGUUCACGCAAGAAUACGGCAAAGAUUUGAAGCGAAGGACAGGAAUGACCUUGAUAACUAACUCUGAGAUCCCUAUCAAGUCACCAUGGACACUAGUCCCAUGGAUUUUUUCGGGUUUGGUUAUCUCAAACAGAAGGUUUUUAAAAGGAGAGCAUCAACUCUGGGUGGACUUUGGAAAGUUCUGAAUCAGGAGUGGAAUCUUGUAACACCUGAAACAUGUCGAAAAGUGUUCGAAAACUGGAAAUUUAGGCUCAGGCUUGUUCGGGCGAUGUCCGGAGAACACAUUGAGAAUACUCAAGCAAUUCAUAAUCGCCGUCGUCAGUAAAUGUAAGAUUUUUUCCCUUGUUCCUAUAAUCUGGAGACACGUUUUGUAUAUACAAAUAAAGGGACAUAUGCAGGCUCAAAAUAUAACCCCUAAAAACGAAUUAAUUAAAAACAAACUAAUUAUCUUUAAUUGAUCACAUGCUCUAUACUGCGACAUGUCGACAACACAGAAAAACAUGUUUUGCCCAAAUUUCAUGCAUAUCGACCGCAAAAUGCCGAAAUUAGGGCAUGGCGACGCUUUUCGACAUGAUUUCGACAAAUUGGUCCCACCCCCUUAAUAGGGUGUCACCCCAUAGCCGUGAAGAGCAUGUGUUGAAAAUUUCAAGUCGCUGCGACGAACCGUUCUCGAGUUUUAGUGUUGACGGACAGACAGACGGUCGGACCGAAAGACUAACUAACCGAUCGCGUUAAGUAGCUUGCGCUACUUAAUAAGUGUAAAGAAAUUCUGCAUUCGUGGAAUAUGAUUUGUAGUUAUAAGAAAGUCAAUACGCUUAAUGAUAUUUGUAAGUAAUAUAUGGACCAGUACUGUUCUCAAGUUAUGUAAAUGUUAGACGCUACGAAUGAUUUUAGCUUGACCACCACCACCACUAUUAUUACUCGUCCACACUUUAACAUUAUUUGAAAAAUUGUAUUUAUUUAUAUAUUUUGUUUCUCCAAAUUUUAACCAUACAUUGUGAAACAGGUAAUUUGUACUUAAUAGUAGCUCGCAUGUACACAUGUAUUCAUUCAUCUACUUAUUUAAUCUUUUUAGAAAUAAUGGCCAAGGAUCAUUCAUGUACAAUUCGAGUCUAUGUAUAUUAAUUUUACACCAGAGGUAGUAAUUAUAAUGGUCACCAUAAUUUACCUAAUUAAUUAUUAUUAUAAAGCAUGUCAAUUUUUCACCACAUAGCCUGAUGAAGAGAUUCGAAACCGGUCGCAAUGGUGAAUAAAUCUGAUCCUCAUUCAACAGUUUAAAGUGUUCCUUGUUCUUAUUAGCAAUGCAAACUGUGCAGCUUUUCUGGUAUUUAUGUACGAGCAAGUCUCCCCUGGAUGUCAUGGGAAUUGAUGUGCACGAGUUAUAUAAACAGUGUUUAUUAAACACUAUUUGUUGGAGAUGGUUGGACUUGCGAAAAAUACCAAAAUAUGUUGUUGUUCUUCAACUCUUACAUACAUAUAUACAUGUGUAUAUACCAAGAAUACAUAGGAUGACCUCAUGUGUUGACUGGGUUUUCAUGAGAUUCCAUGCCAACCCGUCAUGUAAAUCUUCCCUCAAGCAAAAUAAAUACAUAAAUAUGUAUGCAAAAUCCAAUCUUAAGUAUUCAGACAUACAUGCAUAAACAUGUACAUGCUUGUGUGCAAAACAACUUUUUUCCAUAAUUUACUCACAUAUGUAUUUAUGUAUAUCUGGAUAGAAGAAUUAAAUAAUAAAUACUCUUGUAAAUAAGCAAACAUUUUUGAGCGAGUAUAAAAAGAAGCUGUGACCCGUGUCGGAACAUUCAUUCUGCAAAAGGAUUCAUAUUUCCAUAGAAAUUUAUAUCGCUGGAUUUUCACCAUGAAAAGAAGCCCUCUUCUUUUGUGUUUCUUUGUCUUGAUCGCUGUGGCGUCCACGGUUGAAUCGUGUCGAUGUAUCGGACUCGGUGAGUGUUGCGCGGGAAGAGAGUGUUCCCAAUAUCAUGACGGGUCAAUUUGUUCCGGAAAAUGCUGUGUCCGAGGUCCUCGCACAACUGGACCCAAUAAUGCUUGUGGGGACAGAUGCGCUUAAUUAGUAAUCACUUGCACACACGGAGGUGAACCAGUACAUAUCAUUCUAUCCAACACAUGUAGAAAAUAAAUAACACUGAAUAAAUGUGUCUGUUAAAGUUUAAUUGGUUGAAUAAAAAUACGGCUCAGCAUCAAUUAAUUAAUAAUGGUGCAUUUUUAUUUGGUAGAAUUAUUUUAAAAAAUAUCCAUAAAAAUAGAUUUCAGAAUCUGCAACAACUUUUCGUGUGGCAAAAAAAUGAUAAAAUGGGCCCGACGCGUGGGUGUGAAUGGCACGAAAAAACCGAGUUUGUACUCCUCCACACCUUCAGUUAAAUCUAUUUACUUAAAAAAAUAAUAAUCUGGUAGAAAUUUUGUUUGGUCUACAAACCCAACGUAAACAUGACACAUGCAUAAAUACAUAUGUGCAUAUUUAUGCAUACUGAUAUUUUCACGUAAUUACAAAACGUGUUUCCAGAUUAUAGGAACAAGGGAAAAAAUUGUGUAACUUGAGAACGGCUGGUCCAAUCAGCGCCAAAUUUGACAAUCAUAAUUUUGUCAUUAUUGCGGUGCUAUAUUCUGAGUUUCAAAUUUCUGUUUCAAAUAAUGGGGCCUAAAAUUGACCCUAAAGUGGUGGCGUCAGUUUCCAAAGCCAAAUUGGCCUAUAGAGCUAUCAAAUCUGUUUUAAAAGAUUCUGGAAACGACCUAGGUGUGACCACUAUAAGUCGUAUUAUCAGUUUUGAAGGAAUUAGGAGACAUGCAGUUACAUCCGGUCAACCUGUUCCAAGAAAUCGAUACCCUUCAAAAAAGAAUUCGGCCACUUUGAAGAAAAUUGAUCCUCUCACUAAUAAGGAAAAUCCCCCAAGCAAGAGGCAGAUUACAAAGCAAUGCCAGAUGUCCCCGGGGUAUGUUAGUAAAAUAAUACAUCAAGAUUUGGUUAAAACGGUCCAGAAAAAAAAAGUCUAGUCCACGCCCUAAAACCGUCGCAUAUCGCAAACAGGGAAAAAAAUUCCCGGAAGCUCUAUGAGGGUCAUCUUGCAGGUGGAAGGUCAGAAUUUGCCGUUACACUGGACGAGGUACUAUUCUUUACAGAAGACUGUAAAGGAACAAUAAGAAUUUACUAUACAAAGGAUCGAAAAAAAUUAUCAAAUUAUGUGUGCCAGAAGAAGGAAAAGUUUUCUGAUCGGAUGAUGGUUGUUGGCGCAAUGAACGGCCGUGGCGUGUUACCACUGAUUCAUGUCGGUUCAAAUGCAAAAAUAAAUUCGAAGUAUUAUGUUGACAACGUGUUGCAAAAAUUUUUGGAGGUGGAAAUUCCAAAGUUUUACCCUGGCGAGCUGGACAAAGUUUACAUUCACCAUGAUGCUGUAACAUCCCGCAAAGUUCACGCAAGAAUACGGCAAAGAUUUGAAGCGAAAUACAGGAAUGACCUUGAUAACUAACUCUGAGAUCCCUAUCAAGUCACCAUGGACACUAGUCCCAUGGAUUUUUUCGGGUUUGGUUAUCUCAAACAGAAGGUUUUUAAAAGGAGAGCAUCAACUCUGGGUGGACUUUGGAAAGUUCUGAAUCAGGAGUGGAAUCUUGUAACACCUGAAACAUGUCGAAAAGUGUUCGAAAACUGGAAAUUUAGGCUCAGGCUUGUUCGGGCGAUGUCCGGAGAACACAUUGAGAAUACUCAAGCAAUUCAUAAUCGCCGUCGUCAGUAAAUGUAAGAUUUUUUCCCUUGUUCCUAUAAUCUGGAGACACGUUUUGUAUAUACAAAUAAAGGGACAUAUGCAGGCUCAAAAUAUAACCCCUAAAAACGAAUUAAUUAAAAACAAACUAAUUAUCUUUAAUUGAUCACAUGCUCUAUACUGCGACAUGUCGACAACACAGAAAAACAUGUUUUGCCCAAAUUUCAUGCAUAUCGACCGCAAAAUGCCGAAAUUAGGGCGUGGCGACAAAAUCUGUCGUCGAAACCUUACUGGCCAUAUUGCGACAUGUCGACAACACCGAAAAACAAGGUUUCCCCAAAUUUCAUGCCAAUCGCCCAAAAAAUGCCGAAAUUAGGGCAUGGCGACGCUUUUCGACAUGAUUUCGACAAAUUGGUCCCACCCCCUUAAUAGGGUGUCACCCCAUAGCCGUGAAGAGCAUGUGUUGAAAAUUUCAAGUCGCUGCGACGAACCGUUCUCGAGUUUUAGUGUUGACGGACAGACAGACGGUCGGACCGAAAGACUAACUAACCGAUCGCGUUAAGUAGCUUGCGCUACUUAAUAAGUGUAAAGAAAUUCUGCAUUCGUGGAAUAUGAUUUGUAGUUAUAAGAAAGUCAAUACGCUUAAUGAUAUUUGUAAGUAAUAUAUGGACCAGUACUGUUCUCAAGUUAUGUAAAUGUUAGACGCUACGAAUGAUUUUAGCUUGACCACCACCACCACUAUUAUUACUCGUCCACACUUUAACAUUAUUUGAAAAAUUGUAUUUAUUUAUAUAUUUUGUUUCUCCAAAUUUUAACCAUACAUUGUGAAACAGGUAAUUUGUACUUAAUAGUAGCUCGCAUGUACACAUGUAUUCAUUCAUCUACUUAUUUAAUCUUUUUAGAAAUAAUGGCCAAGGAUCAUUCAUGUACAAUUCGAGUCUAUGUAUAUUAAUUUUACACCAGAGGUAGUAAUUAUAAUGGUCACCAUAAUUUACCUAAUUAAUUAUUAUUAUAAAGCAUGUCAAUUUUUCACCACAUAGCCUGAUGAAGAGAUUCGAAACCGGUCGCAAUGGUGAAUAAAUCUGAUCCUCAUUCAACAGUUUAAAGUGUUCCUUGUUCUUAUUAGCAAUGCAAACUGUGCAGCUUUUCUGGUAUUUAUGUACGAGCAAGUCUCCCCUGGAUGUCAUGGGAAUUGAUGUGCACGAGUUAUAUAAACAGUGUUUAUUAAACACUAUUUGUUGGAGAUGGUUGGACUUGCGAAAAAUACCAAAAUAUGUUGUUGUUCUUCAACUCUUACAUACAUAUAUACAUGUGUAUAUACCAAGAAUACAUAGGAUGACCUCAUGUGUUGACUGGGUUUUCAUGAGAUUCCAUGCCAACCCGUCAUGUAAAUCUUCCCUCAAGCAAAAUAAAUACAUAAAUAUGUAUGCAAAAUCCAAUCUUAAGUAUUCAGACAUACAUGCAUAAACAUGUACAUGCUUGUGUGCAAAACAACUUUUUUCCAUAAUUUACUCACAUAUGUAUUUAUGUAUAUCUGGAUAGAAGAAUUAAAUAAUAAAUACUCUUGUAAAUAAGCAAACAUUUUUGAGCGAGUAUAAAAAGAAGCUGUGACCCGUGUCGGAACAUUCAUUCUGCAAAAGGAUUCAUAUUUCCAUAGAAAUUUAUAUCGCUGGAUUUUCACCAUGAAAAGAAGCCCUCUUCUUUUGUGUUUCUUUGUCUUGAUCGCUGUGGCGUCCACGGUUGAAUCGUGUCGAUGUAUCGGACUCGGUGAGUGUUGCGCGGGAAGAGAGUGUUCCCAAUAUCAUGACGGGUCAAUUUGUUCCGGAAAAUGCUGUGUCCGAGGUCCUCGCACAACUGGACCCAAUAAUGCUUGUGGGGACAGAUGCGCUUAAUUAGUAAUCACUUGCACACACGGAGGUGAACCAGUACAUAUCAUUCUAUCCAACACAUGUAGAAAAUAAAUAACACUGAAUAAAUGUGUCUGUUAAAGUUUAAUUGGUUGAAUAAAAAUACGGCUCAGCAUCAAUUAAUUAAUAAUGGUGCAUUUUUAUUUGGUAGAAUUAUUUUAAAAAAUAUCCAUAAAAAUAGAUUUCAGAAUCUGCAACAACUUUUCGCGUGGCAAAAAAAUGAUAAAAUGGGCCCGACGCGUGGGUGUGAAUGACACGAAAAAACCGAGUUUGUACUCCUCCACACCUUCAGUUAAAUCUAUUUACUUAAAAAAAUAAUAAUCUGGUAGAAAUUUUGUUUGGUCUACAAACCCAACGUAAACAUGACACAUGCAUAAAUACAUAUGUGCAUAUUUAUGCAUACUGAUAUUUUCACGUAAUUACAAAACGUGUUUCCAGAUUAUAGGAACAAGGGAAAAAAUUGUGUAACUUGAGAACGGCUGGUCCAAUCAGCGCCAAAUUUGACAAUCAUAAUUUUGUCAUUAUUGCGGUGCUAUAUUCUGAGUUUCAAAUUUCUGUUUCAAAUAAUGGGGCCUAAAAUUGACCCUAAAGUGGUGGCGUCAGUUUCCAAAGCCAAAUUGGCCUAUAGAGCUAUCAAAUCUGUUUUAAAAGAUUCUGGAAACGACCUAGGUGUGACCACUAUAAGUCGUAUUAUCAGUUUUGAAGGAAUUAGGAGACAUGCAGUUACAUCCGGUCAACCUGUUCCAAGAAAUCGAUACCCUUCAAAAAAGAAUUCGGCCACUUUGAAGAAAAUUGAUCCUCUCACUAAUAAGGAAAAUCCCCCAAGCAAGAGGCAGAUUACAAAGCAAUGCCAGAUGUCCCCGGGGUAUGUUAGUAAAAUAAUACAUCAAGAUUUGGUUAAAACGGUCCAGAAAAAAAAAGUCUAGUCCACGCCCUAAAACCGUCGCAUAUCGCAAACAGGGAAAAAAAUUCCCGGAAGCUCUAUGAGGGUCAUCUUGCAGGUGGAAGGUCAGAAUUUGCCGUUACACUGGACGAGGUACUAUUCUUUACAGAAGACUGUAAAGGAACAAUAAGAAUUUACUAUACAAAGGAUCGAAAAAAAUUAUCAAAUUAUGUGUGCCAGAAGAAGGAAAAGUUUUCUGAUCGGAUGAUGGUUGUUGGCGCAAUGAACGGCCGUGGCGUGUUACCACUGAUUCAUGUCGGUUCAAAUGCAAAAAUAAAUUCGAAGUAUUAUGUUGACAACGUGUUGCAAAAAUUUUUGGAGGUGGAAAUUCCAAAGUUUUACCCUGGCGAGCUGGACAAAGUUUACAUUCACCAUGAUGCUGUAACAUCCCGCAAAGUUCACGCAAGAAUACGGCAAAGAUUUGAAGCGAAAUACAGGAAUGACCUUGAUAACUAACUCUGAGAUCCCUAUCAAGUCACCAUGGACACUAGUCCCAUGGAUUUUUUCGGGUUUGGUUAUCUCAAACAGAAGGUUUUUAAAAGGAGAGCAUCAACUCUGGGUGGACUUUGGAAAGUUCUGAAUCAGGAGUGGAAUCUUGUAACACCUGAAACAUGUCGAAAAGUGUUCGAAAACUGGAAAUUUAGGCUCAGGCUUGUUCGGGCGAUGUCCGGAGAACACAUUGAGAAUACUCAAGCAAUUCAUAAUCGCCGUCGUCAGUAAAUGUAAGAUUUUUUCCCUUGUUCCUAUAAUCUGGAGACACGUUUUGUAUAUACAAAUAAAGGGACAUAUGCAGGCUCAAAAUAUAACCCCUAAAAACGAAUUAAUUAAAAACAAACUAAUUAUCUUUAAUUGAUCACAUGCUCUAUACUGCGACAUGUCGACAACACCGAAAAACAAGGUUUCCCCAAAUUUCAUGCCAAUCGCCCAAAAAAUGCCGAAAUUAGGGCAUGGCGACGCUUUUCGACAUGAUUUCGACAAAUUGGUCCCACCCCCUUAAUAGGGUGUCACCCCAUAGCCGUGAAGAGCAUGUGUUGAAAAUUUCAAGUCGCUGCGACGAACCGUUCUCGAGUUUUAGUGUUGACGGACAGACAGACGGUCGGACCGAAAGACUAACUAACCGAUCGCGUAAAGUAGCUUGCGCUACUUAAUAAGUGUAAAGAAAUUCUGCAUUCGUGGAAUAUGAUUUGUAGUUAUAAGAAAGUCAAUACGCUUAAUGAUAUUUGUAAGUAAUAUAUGGACCAGUACUGUUCUCAAGUUAUGUAAAUGUUAGACGCUACGAAUGAUUUUAGCUUGACCACCACCACCACUAUUAUUACUCGUCCACACUUUAACAUUAUUUGAAAAAUUGUAUUUAUUUAUAUAUUUUGUUUCUCCAAAUUUUAACCAUACAUUGUGAAACAGGUAAUUUGUACUUAAUAGUAGCUCGCAUGUACACAUGUAUUCAUUCAUCUACUUAUUUAAUCUUUUUAGAAAUAAUGGCCAAGGAUCAUUCAUGUACAAUUCGAGUCUAUGUAUAUUAAUUUUACACCAGAGGUAGUAAUUAUAAUGGUCACCAUAAUUUAUCUAAUUAAUUAUUAUUAUAAAGCAUGUCAAUUUUUCACCACAUAGCCUGAUGAAGAGAUUCGAAACCGGUCGCAAUGGUGAAUAAAUCUGAUCCUCAUUCAACAGUUUAAAGUGUUCCUUGUUCUUAUUAGCAAUGCAAACUGUGCAGCUUUUCUGGUAUUUAUGUACGAACAAGUCUCCCCUGGAUGUCAUGGGAAUUGAUGUGCACGAGUUAUAUAAACAGUGUUUAUUAAACACUAUUUGUUGGAGAUGGUUGGACUUGCGAAAAAUACCAAAAUAUGUUGUUGUUCUUCAACUCUUACAUACAUAUAUACAUGUGUAUAUACCAAGAAUACAUAGGAUGACCUCAUGUGUUGACUGGGUUUUCAUGAGAUUCCAUGCCAACCCGUCAUGUAAAUCUUCCCUCAAGCAAAAUAAAUACAUAAAUAUGUAUGCAAAAUCCAAUCUUAAGUAUUCAGACAUACAUGCAUAAACAUGUACAUGCUUGUGUGCAAAACAACUUUUUUCCAUAAUUUACUCACAUAUGUAUUUAUGUAUAUCUGGAUAGAAGAAUUAAAUAAUAAAUACUCUUGUAAAUAAGCAAACAUUUUUGAGCGAGUAUAAAAAGAAGCUGUGACCCGUGUCGGAACAUUCAUUCUGCAAAAGGAUUCAUAUUUCCAUAGAAAUUUAUAUCGCUGGAUUUUCACCAUGAAAAGAAGCCCUCUUCUUUUGUGUUUCUUUGUCUUGAUCGCUGUGGCGUCCACGGUUGAAUCGUGUCGAUGUAUCGGACUUGGUGAGUGUUGCGCGGGAAGAGAGUGUUCCCAAUAUCAUGACGGGUCAAUUUGUUCCGGAAAAUGCUGUGUCCGAGGUCCUCGCACAACUGGACCCAAUAAUGCUUGUGGGGACAGAUGCGCUUAAUUAGUAAUCACUUGCACACACGGAGGUGAACCAGUACAUAUCAUUCUAUCCAACACAUGUAGAAAAUAAAUAACACUGAAUAAAUGUGUCUGUUAAAGUUUAAUUGGUUGAAUAAAAAUACGGCUCAGCAUCAAUUAA